rnacentral:rRNA from 1 species
CCUACGGGUGGCAGCAGUGAGGAAUAUUGGUCAAUGGUCGCGAGCCUGAACCAGCCAAGUAGCGUGAAGGAUGACUGCCCUACGGGUUGUAAACUUCUUUUAUAAAGGAAUAAAGUGAGGCACGUGUGCCUUUUUGUAUGUACUUUAUGAAUAAGGAUCGGCUAACUCCGUGCCAGCAGCCGCGGUAAUACGGAGGAUCCGAGCGUUAUCCGGAUUUAUUGGGUUUAAAGGGAGCGUAGGCGGGUUGUUAAGUCAGUUGUGAAAGUUUGCGGCUCAACCGUAAAAUUGCAAUUGAUACUGGCAGUCUUGAGUACAGUUGAGGUAUGCGGAAUGCGUGGUGUAGCGGUGAAAUGCAUAGAUAUCACGCAGAACCCCGAUUGCGAAGGCAGCAUACUAAACUGUGACUGACACUGAUGCACGAAAGUGUGGGUAUCAAACAGGAUUAGAUACCCCUGUAGUC